rnacentral:rRNA from 1 species
AACGAACGCUGGCGGCAGGCCUAACACAUGCAAGUCGAACGCCGUAGCAAUACGGAGUGGCAGACGGGUGAGUAACGCGUGGGAACAUGCCCUUUGGUUCGGAAUAACUCAGGGAAACUUGAGCUAAUACCGGAUAAGCCCGAGAGGGGAAAGAUUUAUCGCCGAAGGAUUGGCCCGCGUCCGAUUAGCUAGUUGGUGAGGUAACGGCUCACCAAGGCGACGAUCGGUAGCUGGUCCGAGAGGAUGAUCAGCCACACUGGGACUGAGACACGGCCCAGACUCCUACGGGAGGCAGCAGUGGGGAAUAUUGGACAAUGGGCGCAAGCCUGAUCCAGCCAUGCCGCGUGAGUGAUGAAGGCCCUAGGGUUGUAAAGCUCUUUCGCCAGGGACGAUAAUGACGGUACCUGGAUAAGAAGCCCCGGCUAACUUCGUGCCAGCCGCCGCGGUAAUAC